AUAAUUAGCACAUAAAUUAAAAUUGUUCAAAAUGUAUAUGAAAAACAGACUUUUUAAAACAGUCCAAAAAUAAAAUCAGAGGUUCCCAUUGCAUUCUUCCUCACCGAUCCCCGUUAGGGUUUUGCAAAGCUACUCCGGGGUUGCGUUGUUCGGUGCUCACCGUCACCGGCCGUGUGUACUCGACGUAGGGAUCCGCUCAAUUGCCAUACACUGUACACCACUGCAAAUCUUCAGCGGUCUCGUUUUCUCUAUAACAGAAAAUCACAGCAACUGUUUACACCGACGUCAGAAUAUGGUAGAAGCAGGGGAAGAAGUUAUCGAGUUCAAGUGGGGUAAUAUGAGAUCGGUUGGCGGGAGGAAGAAGGAUGUGCGCUUUUACGAUUCUUUUUUCUACGAUGGUGUAGAAUACUCGCUCUUCGACUCGGUGUUUCUAUACAAGGAAGGCGAACCCGAACAUUACAUUGGCAAAAUCGUUAAAAUAUGGGAGACCUCUGAUAAGAACAAGAGAGUCAAGGUUCUAUGGUAUUUUCGUCCUUCUGAGAUUGGAAACUUUUUGGAAGGAAAUGACGCACUCGAGAACGAGUUGUUUCUGGCAUCUGGUGAAGGUGAAGGACUUGCAAACGUCAAUCCUCUGGAAGCUAUUGCCGGCAAAUGCAAUAUUGUUUGCAUUUCUAAGGACAGCCGGAAUCCAUAUCCAUCAGAUGCAGAAGUUAAAAUGGCUGAAUUUGUAUUCUAUCGUUUCUUUGAUGUUGGAAAGUGCAAGAUAUUGGAUAAGAUAGAUGACAAGAUUGCUGGAAUUGAAGUUAAAAAUAUUUUUAACCAUUUAGAUAGUCGAAAGCAUGUUGGUAUUGGGAAACCCGGUUUAGAAAAGAAAGAGGUUAGUGGGAACUUCAUGGCAUGUAAUGAAGCUGUGGCUCCUUUGAGUCAAAAUAACAAUCAGCCAUUGAUUGAAAAACCAGAUGGCAAGUGUUUUGACGCAUUAGCUAGAGAAAAUGCUGUUUCUAAAUCAUUGUUGGGAAAAAAACCUACUUUGAGAACUGGUGUAAAGGAAGCAAGUGAACUUAAUGAUUCUUACUUGGUUUCCAACAACAAGAAUGCACCUCAAGAUAAAGUUGAAGAAAAUGGAGGUCACAAGGCCUCCUUGGUUAAACAAAAAUCAUUUUCUAAACUAUCACACGCUUCUAGAACUGAUUUGAAAAUGAGGGAAAUGGCUAAAAUGGACUAUGGGCGUGGAAAUGACUCUAUUGAGAAGAACAUUUCCACGUCAAGAGUUAAUUUAGGAAAGGACGAUCACGAGGAUGAAGGUGUUUCAGUUGGACAAUUUAAUAAGGGAGUAGUGGAGGAAAUGACUUCCAAGAAGGAAAAUCGGGGCGGAUUUGGUAAGGUUUCUAGUGCAAAGAUGAACAAUAAUGGGAAAAGUCGAAAGCUUAUUACUUAUGACGAUGAUGACGAUAAUGACGAUAAUGUGAAGACUGUAGCUCCAUCUUCAUCUAAGGAUAAAUAUAAGCUUCAACGUGAAGCAAAUUCUUUUGAUGUGGAGGAGCUUCCUUCCAAGAGGUUAAAGAUCGACAAGGCAACGAAACUCGCUAGUGACAAGUUGUGCAAAGACUCUUCAGUGAUUUCGUCGAAUGUGGAACACGAGAGAGAUUUUCGUCUGAUGGAAGUUACUCGAAGACCCGAUGAUGAUAGAAGCAAAUGGUUUAAGGAAAUUCCUUGGGAAGAAAAACUGAAAACUGCUUUUGAGCAACGAAAACUUGUGCUACUUCAAAACUUGGAUCCAUCUUUAUCUUCAUCAGAGGUACAGAAUAUUAUUUGGACUGGCUUUAAAGAACGUUGCACUGCAAAGGUGAUCCAGAAAACUGAUUACACUAGCCCUCAUUCUGGUCAAGCUUUUGCUAUAUUUAAGAAAAUGGAAGCAGCAGCAAAGGUUGUUAAAGAACUAGAUGAGGGCUGCUUCAUAUUGUCAAACGGACUACCCCUUGUUGGAAGCUUUGGAAUUCCUUGCUUUCCAGAAAAGAAGCCAGUAUUCUAUGGGCAUCAUGUUGUUGAUCAACUUAGAAUGAUGCAGAUGCAUCGAGAAAUGAAAGAUGCUGUAUCUACUUCACAUUGUUCUCAGCCCAACAAUAUUGAAUAUGACAUGGCCAUAGAGUGGUGCUUAUUGCAAGAAAGAGCAAACAAAUCAUGGAGAAUAUUAUAUAAGCAACAAGGCGAGCAGUUGAGAAAACUCAAAGCUAAGCUGAAGUCUAAAACUUAACUGACAUCCAUUGACCAUAUACACAAUGUUUAGUGUGACCGAAUUCUUGGCACUUCUGGAACUAAUAUGAAUUUGUUUCUUGAAAUAGAAACCCACACUCAACACACUCACACGCACAAUUCACAGUAAGAGUAUGAAGAAAAGAAUGAAGAAGAAUUGUAUUAGCCCAAUCGUCCAGUACAAACAGAGAACUAGGGAGCUUAAUCCCCCUCCCAGGACAAUGUGUCCUGCUACUAUUCACAAAGAAUACACUCAACAACCUCCCCCUAUCCCUCAACUCUGCCUUAUAUACAAAGUCACACCCUCAGUGAUUGGGAUUGACUUGUUCAUUGAGGCAGUGACUUGCAUCACGCAUACUUUGGUUUGGCUGUUGUAAAUACUACUUCUAUUCUAUGGGGUUUGGGCGUUGAUAGGAGUACAAUUCAUUGCAACUCCCUGCCGAUCAAGGUGGUUCUCGGUGAUAGCUGUUUGGUCUUUUGGUUGGAAAUGAGAAAAGUUUGGCUAUAUAUUAGUUUUGCCUUCAUUUGUUAUUGAAAAGCCCAAAGGCCAAAAACACCAUCCGAGUUGAAGGCUGCCUAGCUAUGAGCAACCGUAGGUAUAUAUCUAUUGAAAGACCAUGCUUAGCUAAUGGUUCCCUCGUUAAAUUGAAUUCUUUGUACACAUGAUUCCAGGAUAUUUGGUGGGCUUGGUAAGUGAUUUUAAUUUUAUUUUAUUUUAUUUUGUAAUUAAUGGCUUGUCAUGGCCAAGGCAGCCUCUAAGGGUAAAAAAUGUUAAUUGAAGUACUUGCUUAGGUAGUUACAGGAUAAGGCAUUUCUAUGACCACUGAAUGGCUGGCUACCUUCACUCGCUUGAGUGUGUCGUGGCCACCCAUCUUUCUACCUUGAUAAUUGGCAUUUCGUUGUUCUAAGGCAGUGGUCGAGUUCCAUUAUUCCAUGGCUUAUUUCCUAACACCUUUGCAUUCUAUAUUUUCUAACAUGGAAAGAUGAUCCUUACGACCAA